UCAACUAGGCUUCCACCUUCUUUUUCAGAGGUUACAUGCUUAAGUGAUUCUAGGCAUCACGUUUACACCGUAGAAUCUUCUUUGCUCCUGCCAGAAUCCUGUAGGCCAGUGAAAACUGUUGCCAUUCCAUUUUCAUAUAGUCCUUAUCUUGCUGAUAACAGUUUUGGCCUCGGGUUGACUUGGAGCUCUCCUGGACCUGAUGAAGAUUGUGAAGCAAAAGGAGGUCAGUGCAAACUCCAAACAGGAUAUUCCACCACAAAACCGGAAAAAGGCUUUCCAAUCAAGUACUUGAAUUUAGGUGAUAUCUCUUCCAAGUUCUUGAUGGUUCUGUUAUGUAUCUUGGCAGUGGUACUGCUAAUAAGCAUAAAGAUGUAUCAUUCAAAGAAAGUGGAUAUGCAGCUUGAAAAUGAGAAUCUGCUUGAGGUUUUGAGAUGCUACAAAGCUCAAGAAAACAUGUAAUUAUGAAGAAGUAUCAUGUAAACAGAGGAGAGAAAUCCACUUGUAAUUAUUCCUCACAAAAAUAACAAAAAAUGCAUACAAGUAGGAGGGGUAUUGUCGUUGGUAUCUUUUAAGGCAGGUUUGCCCCAUUCUGUGUUUAGCAGCAAAAUGGAAGGGGGAUAACCUGGAAUAAAAAUUUUGUACUUAGAACUAUGUAAUUCUAUUCCAUUUGGGUUUUAACUUUUUUUCCUCUUAAUUAUUAAAAAAUUCGAAAGUUUGCG
rnacentral:misc_RNA from 1 species